UUUGAUGCUCAGGGUUAUAUGUUUACAGAGUUUAACUAUGAAGCCGGUGCUGGUCAAUUCUUCCUCAGUAAGUAAGAUGCUCAAAUAAUAGGCUGUUAGUUACGAUCAUGAAAAGCAACAAAAUUGUGGUAUUUAGAUUCUCAAUGGUGCAUGUAUAAUAGUAUUUAACUUCUGAAGAUUAUACAGACUGUCUCAGAUUUUAAAGAAUGAUACAAUCAGUUUAUGGUUACACGGUUUGAACCUCUCACACUAAUUAUAUCUUUGUCG
rnacentral:lncRNA from 1 species